CCUACGGGUGGCAGCAGUGAGGAAUAUUGGUCAAUGGGCGUAAGCCUGAACCAGCCAAGUCGCGUGAGGGAUGAAGGUUCUAUGGAUCGUAAACCUCUUUUAUAAGGGAAUAAAGUGUGGGACGUGUCCUGUUUUGUAUGUACCUGAUGAAUAAGGAUCGGCUAACUCCGUGCCAGCAGCCGCGGUAAUACGGAGGAUCCGAGCAUUAUCCGGAUUUAUUGGGUUUAAAGGGUGCGGAGGCGGCCUUUUAAGUCAGCGGUGAAAGUCUGUGGCUUAACCAUAGAAUUGCCGUUGAAACUGGGAGUCUUGAGUAUGUUUGAGGCAGGCGGAAUGCGCGGUGUAGCGGUGAAAUGCUUAGAUAUCACGCAGAACCCCGAUUGCGAAGGCAGCCUGCCAGCCCAUGACUGACGCUGAUGCACGAAAGCGUGGGGAUCAAACAGGAUUAGAUACCCGGGUAGUC
rnacentral:rRNA from 1 species